rnacentral:snRNA from 1 species
AUAAUUACCUGGCGUGGGGGUUAACCGUGAUCAGUAAGGCGGUUCCCUCAGGGCGAGGCCUUUCCAUUGCACUUUAGGUUUGGUUGACCCCUGCGAAUAUCCCAAAUGUGGAUAUCUCGGGCGCACAAUUUUUGGCUUUGUGGGACUGCGUUCGCGCUAUCCCAUU